rnacentral:rRNA from 1 species
CACGUAGGGUGCGAGCGUUGUCCGGAAUUAUUGGGCGUAAAGAGCUCGUAGGCGGUGUGUCGCGUCGGCCGUGAAAACCUGCAGCUUAACUGUGGGCUUGCGGUCGAUACGGGCAUCACUGGAGUUCGGCAGGGGAGACUGGAAUUCCUGGUGUAGCGGUGAAAUGCGCAGAUAUCAGGAGGAACACCGGUGGCGAAGGCGGGUCUCUGGCCGAUACUGACGCUGAGGAGCGAAAGCGUGGGAGCGAACAGG